UACGGAGGGUGCAAGCGUUAUCCGGAUUCACUGGGUUUAAAGGGUGCGUAGGCGGGUUGGUAAGUCCGUGGUGAAAUCUCCGAGCUUAACUCGGAAACUGCCGUGGAUACUAUCAAUCUUGAAUGUCGUGGAGGUAAGCGGAAUAUGUCAUGUAGCGGUGAAAUGCUUAGAUAUGACAUAGAGCACCAAUUGCGUAGGCAGCUUACUACACGAUUAUUGACGCUGAGGCACGAAAGCGUGGGGAGCAAACAGG
rnacentral:rRNA from 1 species